rnacentral:rRNA from 1 species
GGGCGUAAAGAGCUCGUAGGUGGUUUGUCGCGUUGUUCGUGAAAUCUCACGGCUUAACUGUGAGCGUGCGGGCGAUACGGGCAGACUUGAGUACUGCAGGGGAGACUGGAAUUCCUGGUGUAGCGGUGGAAUGCGCAGAUAUCAGGAGGAACACCGGUGGCGAAGGCGGGUCUCUGGGCAGUAACUGACGCUGAGGAGCGAAAGCGUGGGGAGCGAACAGGAUUAGAUACCCUGGUAGUCCACGCCGUAAACGGUGGGUACUAGGUGUGGGUUUCCUUCCUUGGGAUCCGUGCCGUAGCUAACGCAUUAAGUACCCCGCCUGGGGAGUACGGCCGCAAGGCUAAAACUCAAAGAAAUUGACGGGGGCCCGCACAAGCGGCGGAGCAUGUGGAUUAGUUCGAUGCAACGCGAAGAACCUUACCUGGGUUUGACAUGCACAGGACGCCGGCAGAGAUGUCGGUUCCCUUGUGGCCUGUGUGCAGGUGGUGCAUGGCUGUCGUCAGCUCGUGUCGUGAGAUGUUGGGUUAAGUCCCGCAACGAGCGCAACCCUUGUCUCAUGUUGCCAGCGGGUAAUGCCGGGGACUCGUGAGAGACUGCCGGGGUCAACUCGGAGGAAGGUGGGGAUGACGUCAAGUCAUCAUGCCCCUUAUGUCCAGGGCUUCACACAUGCUACAAUGGCCGGUACAAAGGGCUGCGAUGCCGCGAGGUUAAGCGAAUCCUUUUAAAGCCGGUCUCAGUUCGGAUCGGGGUCUGCAACUCGACCCCGUGAAGUCGGAGUCGCUAGUAAUCG